GGCGAACGGGUGAGUAACGCGUGGGUAACCUGCCUCUGAAUCUGGAAUAACCCGCCGAAAGGCGGACUAAUACCGGAUAUUGUCCCGGAGUCGCAUGACACUGGGAUGAAAGAUGACCUCUUCACGAAAGUUGUCGUUCAGGGAGGGGCUCGCGUACCAUUAGCUAGUUGGUAGGGUAAUGGCCUACCAAGGCGACGAUGGUUAGCUGGUCUGAGAGGAUGAUCAGCCACACUGGAACUGAAACACGGUCCAGACUCCUACGGGAGGCAGCAGUGAGGAAUUUUGCGCAAUAGGGGAAACCCUGACGCAGCAACGCCGCGUGAGUGAAGAAGGCCUUCGGGUCGUAAAGCUCUGUCAAGUGGGACAAAAUCCUGCGGGUAAAUAGCCCGCUGGAGUGAUGGUACUGCUAGAGGAAGCACCGGCUAACUCCGUGCCAGCAGCCGCGGUAAUACGGAGGGUGCAAGCGUUGUUCGGAAUUACUGGGCGUAAAGCGCGUGCAGGCGGUUCGGUAAGUCAGAUGUGAAAGCCCUGGGCUCAACCCAGGAAGUGCAUUUGAUACUGCCGUGCUA
rnacentral:rRNA from 1 species